AACGAACGCUGGCGGCAUGCCUAACACAUGCAAGUCGAACGAGACCUUCGGGUCUCGUGGCGCACGGGUGCGUAACGCGUGGGAAUCUGCCCUUGGGUUCGGAAUAACAGUUGGAAACGACUGCUAAUACCGGAUGAUGACGUAAGUCCAAAGAUUUAUCGCCCAAGGAUGAGCCCGCGUAGGAUUAGCUAGUUGGUGAGGUAAAGGCUCACCAAGGCGACGAUCCUUAGCUGGUCUGAGAGGAUGAUCAGCCACACUGGGACUGAGACACGGCCCAGACUCCUACGGGAGGCAGCAGUGGGGAAUAUUGGACAAUGGGCGAAAGCCUGAGCAAGCAAUGCCGCGUGAGUGAUGAAGGCGUUAGGGUUGUAAAGCUCUUUUACCCGGGAUGAUAAUGACAGUACCGGGAGAAUAAGCGCCGGCUAACUACGUG
rnacentral:rRNA from 1 species